rnacentral:rRNA from 1 species
CCUACGGGAGGCAGCAGUGGGGAAUAUUGGGCAAUGGGCGCAAGCCUGACCCAGCAACGCCGCGUGAAGGAAGAAGGCUUUCGGGUUGUAAACUUCUUUUGUCAGGGAAGAGUAGAAGACGGUACUUGCCGAAUAAGACACGGCUACCUACGUGCCAGCGGCAGCGGUAAUACGUCGGUGGCAAGCGUUGUCGGGAUUUACUGGGUGUAAGGGGCGUGUAGCCGGGUUGACAAGUCAGGUGUGAAAUCCUGCGGCUUAACCGCAGAACUGCAUUUGAAACUGUUGAUCUUGAGUGCUGGAGAGGCAGGUGGAAUUCCUGGUGUAGCGGUGAAAUGCGUAGAUAUCAGGAGGAACACCAGUUGCGAAGGCAGCCUGCUGGACAGCGACUGACGGUGAGGCGCGAAAGCGUGGGUAUCAAACAGGAUUAGAUACCCGAGUAGUC